rnacentral:snoRNA from 14 species
UAGAUGAUGAAAACUUAGAUGACGAGUCAUAAUUUUCUACGAGGGAUUAAUUCUUUUAGGUUUUCUAGGAGAAUUAAUUUUCCCUUGAUAGUUGAUGAUUUUGGCGCCUGAUU